rnacentral:rRNA from 1 species
CAGUCGCCACGGUAAUACGAGGGGGGCAAGCGUUGUUCGGAUUUAUUGGGCGUAAAGGGUGCGUAGGCGGUUUGGCAAGUCUCGUGUGAAAUCUUCGGGCUCAACCCGAAGCCUGCACGAGAAACUACCGGGCUUGAGUAUUGGAGAGGUGAGUGGAAUUUCCGGUGUAGCGGUGAAAUGCGUAGAUAUCGGAAGGAACACCUGUGGCGAAAGCGGCUCACUGGACAAUAACUGACGCUGAUGCACGAAAGCUAGGGGAGCAAACAGGAUUAGAUACCCCCGUAGUCCCUGUCUCUUAUAC